rnacentral:rRNA from 1 species
UACGAAGGGGGCUAGCGUUGUUCGGAUUUACUGGGCGUAAAGGGCGCGUAGGCGGCGCAGUUAGUCAGGCGUGAAAUUCCUGGGCUCAACCUGGGGACUGCGCUUGAUACGGCUGUGCUUGAGGAUGGAAGAGGCUCGCGGAAUUCCCAGUGUAGAGGUGAAAUUCGUAGAUAUUGGGAAGAACACCGGUGGCGAAGGCGGCGAGCUGGUCCAUUACUGACGCUGAGGCGCGACAGCGUGGGGGAGCAAACAGG